CACGUAGGGGGCGAGCGUUGUCCGGAUUUAUUGGGCGUAAAGAGCUCGUAGGCGGCUCAGUAAGUCAGGUGUGAAAACACCGGGCUUAACUCGGUGCUUGCUUUCGAUACGGGCAGACUGGAGGUAUGCAGGGGAGAACGGAAUUCCUGGUGUAGCGGUGAAAUGCGCAGAUAUCAGGAGGAACACCGGUGGCGAAGGCGGCUCUCUGGAACGCAACUGACGCUGAGACGCGAAAGCGUGGGGAGCAAACAGG
rnacentral:rRNA from 1 species